rnacentral:rRNA from 1 species
AAGGGCACCACAAGAACGCGUGGAGCAUGUGGCUUAAUUUGACUCAACGCGGGAAAUCUUACCAGGUCCAGACAUAUUGAGGAUUGACAGGCGAUAGUUUAUAUUUUUAUAUAAAUAUAAGCAUAAAAAUGAUAGUCCUUUCAUGAUUAUAUGAUAGGUGGUGCAUGGCCACUCUUAGUUCGUGGAGUGAUUUGUCUGCUUAAUUGCGUUUCAGUUAAAUAAAAUAUAAUAAUAUACACAUUUAAUAUUUUAGUUCUGCCAGAGAUGGAUUUAAAGUGAACAAUAUUAUUGUUAUAAUAUUAUAUAAUAAAUGAAUGCAACGAACGUGACCGUAACCUUUUAUUGCUAUAAUAUAUUAUAUAGCAUAAAAUUAAAGGAACCGCUGUCAUAAAUUAUAUGUGUUAAAAUAGAGUAAGAAUACGGCAAUAACAGGUCUGUGAUGCCCUCAGAUGUUCUGGGCUGCACACGUGCUACAAUAAUUACAUUAAUAAGUAUAUAUAUUAUAUUUAUUAUAUAAAUUAAACCUAUUUCGAAAGUAAAUGGGUAAUCAUUUAAAAAUCGUAACUAUUAUUGUAGUAUAUUUAAUUUAAGGUGGGGAUAGUGUAUUGUUAAUUAUUACACUUGGCCUUAACUAGGAAUGCCUUGUACUCUUCUUUGGUUUAACAUACCAAGAGGAAUACGUCCCUGCCCUUUGUACACACCGCCCGUCGCUCUUACCGAUGAAUUAUAUUAUAAAGAGAAGGGAUUUAUAUUAUUAAAAUAACAAACUUAUAUACAUAAUGUGAUUUAAAGGAAAGAGAAGUCGUAACAAGGCAUCGUAGGUGAACCU